GCAGGAGUGAGCCUGCUCGCGAUGGCGGUGUGGCAGUCAGAAUAAUCUCGCCUGAUACACCGCUAUCGCGAGCAGGCUCACUCCUAC
rnacentral:misc_RNA from 1 species